rnacentral:rRNA from 1 species
CCUACGGGUGGCAGCAGUGAGGAAUAUUGGUCAAUGGGCGCGAGCCUGAACCAGCCAAGUCGCGUGAGGGAAGACGGUCCUAUGGAUUGUAACCCUCUUUUGUCGGAGAACAAAACCCGGGACGUGUCCCGGACUGCGUGUAUCCGAAGAAAAAGCAUAGGCUAACUCCGUGCCAGCAGCCGCGGUAAUACGGAGGAUGCGAGCGUUAUCCGGUUUUAUUGGGUUUAAGGGGUGGGUAGGCGGUCCGUUAAGUCAGCGGUAAAAUUGCGGGGCGCAACCCCGUCGAGCCGUGGAAACUGGCAGACUUGAGUGGGCGAGAAGUACGCGGAAUGCGCGGUGUAGCGGUGAAAUGCAUAGAUAUCGCGCAGAACUCCGAUUGCGAAGGCAGCGUACCGGCGCCAGACUGACGCUGAGGCACGAAAGCGUGGGGAUCGAACAGGAUUAGAUACCCCUGUAGUC